rnacentral:rRNA from 1 species
GACGAACGCUGGCGGCGUGCUUAAUACAUGCAAGUCGAACGGAAAGGCCCUGCUUUUGUGGGGUGCUCGAGUGGCGAACGGGUGAGUAACACGUGAGUAACCUGCCCUUGACUUUGGGAUAACUUCAGGAAACUGGGGCUAAUACCGGAUAGGAGCUCCUGCUGCAUGGUGGGGGUUGGAAAGUUUCGGCGGUUGGGGAUGGACUCGCGGCUUAUCAGCUUGUUGGUGGGGUAGUGGCUUACCAAGGCUUUGACGGGUAGCCGGCCUGAGAGGGUGACCGGCCACAAUGGUACUGAGAUACGGCCCAGACUCCUACGGGAGGCAGCAGGGGGGAAUAUUGCACAAUGGGCGGAAGCCUGAUGCAGCAACGCCGCGUGCGGGAUGACGGCCUUCGGGUUGUAAACCGCUUUCGCCUGUGACGAAGCGUUAGUGACGGUAAUGGGUAAAGAAGCACCGGCUAACUACGUG